ensembl:lncRNA
GGAUGGACAUAUCGAUAUAGACAUUUUUCAUGACGGGUGCCAAUAUCUCUGGCGGUCACUCCGUAAUGAAAAUAUAAGAGCAAGCACAAGACUGCGCUUCACUUUAGCGACUUUAACAUCCUUCUCUCGCAGGGUACCGCCCCCUGCGUCCUGGAUCUGAUCGCUCCACGUCUGAACCGACCGAUACGGCUGAAGGCUCCAGACAGAGGCGUAUACAUUUUUAAUAGCAGCAUAUCUCAUGCGCACACACACACACACACACGCUAGUACGUACGCGGACGUGCACGCGACAGGCAUUUGCGAUCACCGGUGGCCUGUGUCAUUUUCCCGCGACGAUCAAAUGCUCGAGGUGAGUGAGAGAGAGAGAGUGAGCGAGUGAGAGAGAGAGCGCAUUAGUCAUCACGUGUUUUCCGGCUUGAUGUUGGCACGAGAUCCGUCACUGUUUAAAUCAUUCAUGAUUUCUACGGCGUUUCGGUCUCCUCCUUUUCGAACGCCGUAACGUCACAAUAUCGCCUGACAGAUGUAGACGUGUAAAUCACAUUUAAAACAAAACACAAAAGGAUAAAGAAAUAGAGACUGAGUUAGCGGUGACACCUCUUCCUCUGACUUUAUUCGAUUCCCGGCUUGAUUUUUACGUUAGAUGCUUCUUUUAAAGGUGCAGUCAGCGAUUCAUACGAGUCCGUCCAUCCGUCCGUCUUCUAUACCGCUCAAUCCUUCUCAGGGUCACGGGGAACUGGAGCCUAUCCCAGGGAGCAUGGGGCACAAGGCGGGGCACACCCUGGACAGGGCGCCGAUCCAUCGCAGGGCUUCAUAAGAGUCGUCAACAUUUUUUGUAAACAAGAAAAAAAACCCAUUCAUUUGAGCACUAACAUCCAACCAAUCCAAACAAGGAGGCGUCUCUACCGGCCUGUCGAUCAGAAACAUCGAUCUGAGGUGAAUAAUCAGGCCAUUACGCCGUCACACGAACAUGACGCACGGAACGCGAGCCGAUGGAUGUAAAGUCAGAGAAUCUGAAAUAAAUUUGGAUUCGGAAAUGUUAUCGGUGUAGGGGUCUGAAUCUGUCGUUUCCUGCCCGGGAGCCCAAGAUCUACUAAUCCCUCCCUGAUGAGCGUGUGGCUACGGAGCAAAUACUACAGGAGUUCUGUGUUUCAACACUUCCAGCGAACUUUCAGCAAAAUCGCUGACUGCACCUUUAAUCCACAUGAGAGAUUACAGGGCAUGUUGCGCUGGCAAACUGUUUCUAAAAGAACGGACAUAAACAACGUCUAUCCGGGUGAAAAAAACUCAACUAAUCAAUGCUAGACAACUCAGUGGAUUUUGCAGUUUUGGGGAAACGGAAUCUGUGAGGGAUUUCACAGCUUUAGGAUCACGUACACGGCUUCUAUUAAAACGCUCGUUUCCGGAACCGCGAGGAUGGUUCUGAUGUGUUAAAACAAUGAAAAGCGCCGAGAUGGAUCGAGCUGACGCUUUCUUUUUUUUUUUAAAUAGAGAACUUUGACAGCUGGUGCAUGACACAGCACUUGCACUGGAGAGUUGUUUACAGCAACCCGAGAGGGAGAGAAAAGAAAUGAGGGAGAGAGAGAGAGAGUGAGAGAGAUAGAGAGAGAGAGUGAGAGAGAGAGAGAGUGAGAGAGAGAGAGUGAGAGAGAGACAGACAGGCAGAGCGAGAGAGAGAGAGAGAGAGAGAGAGAGAGACGGAGAGAGAGAGAGACAGACAGGCAGAGAGAGAGAAUAUGCAAUAACAUUUCUAGCCUGUUAAUACACCCUACCAGCUUGUUCAGAAAGCUCUCGGAAGCGAGCUCAUCUCUUCCGCCGUUACAUUAGUUGCUCAAUUCCCCGUGAGGCAGCGCGUAUGAGGUCGCUUCGCUGGAUACACCAUUACUCAUAUACCAGCAUGACGUUUUCUGUCGCUGCUCAUAACUCCCUGACGUCAGUGCUAAUUUAACACACUCUGUGCCUCAAUGUCAGUUUAAAAUACACACCGCUAGAACCAAAAGAACCAAACAGAGGAGGAGCCCCCCCGGCGUCCUGCCGAAAUCCCCCGUUGACCCUUAUCCAUCACGGCCCCCUAAUAAUCCCCAUCCCUGAACUGGCUACAUCACUCUCUCCUCUCCACUAAUAGCCGGUGUGGUGGGCGUCCUGGCGCGCUAUGGCUGCCGUCACAUCAUCCAGGUGGAUGCUACACACUGGUGGUGGUUGAGUAGACCCCCCCCCCCCCCCCUUCCCCAAUCUAAAGCGCUUUGAGUGUCUAGAAAAGCGCUAUAUAAAUGUAAGGAAUUCGAAGAGAUGAGAGGAAAGGAGAGAAAAAAAGCACUUAAUUCGCUCAACCCUGAUCCGCAGGAAGUGAAAUGUUUAAUCUACACAAGUCUGAUGUAUCCUGGGUACUUCCCUUUAAAAAAAAAUUCAUUCGGUCAUUGAUUGAUUGAUUGAUUGAUUGGUGGUGAUACAGUGGUGCACAGCUAUGGUCUCAGAUCUGAUCUCAGGUCAGGUCUUUCUAUAUGGAGCACGUUCUCCACGUGUCCUCCAGGUUCUCGGGUUCCCUCCCAUCUCCCGAAAACAAGCUAAUUAGUGAACUAGCCACAAUAAAUGACCACUAGUCAUUAGUGAAGGCGUAUGCACGAUGCCCCAGCCUCGUCUCAAGUGUUCCUGGGAUUACCUCCAGACCCAGCACAGCCCUGACCGGGAAAACGUGGUGUCUGAAGACAAACAAACGAAUAAAUGCACCGAUUUAUUAUUUAUUUAAUCACAAACUCGGUUACUGUCAAAUGUUUUGGUCCGUUUUUUUUUUGUUGUUUUUUUUUAAACGUACAUAAACUGUUAAGUUACCUUCAAAACGUACGUAUCCGUACGUACUCUACAGGAUACAAUUCCGACUCUGAAGACGAAACGUCGACCCGAAGAUGAACGCGCACGUUCGAACGCGAAACACUGUGCGAGAUGGGAUUUUAAGAUGUUUAGCGAGUGCUAGCACCGAUUCGAAUUGAAAACGUACCGUUGCGCCAAAACAAAAACAAACAAAAAAAAAACACGACACGCGAGACAUCACCGACGCACAACACGGACGUCAUCGGCGUAUUAAAACUCGCUUCUCCGCAGAACGAGUGAGGCGCCGAGUAGAAUGCUAAGUCGCGUCGCGGACGCGCGCUCUCCGUGACGACGCGCUACAGGACACGGAUGACGGGUGACUAAACCAGAAAGGAUUCACGGCACCGUAUCGCGGUCCGUUUUAUCUAUUGUUAUUUAUUGCUUGCGGGGCUUUGAUCACUCAUACCUCAUUUAUUCCGCAUACCUGCUUUCUUUACGUUCCGACGUCCGACGUUCUUAAGAUUCAGAAAAAUCUCCUCGCUCUUUGAAAGCGUGUACUCGCGUUAGAUCAGCGGUAUGAACUUACACACACGAUGACACCGUCUCUCGCCAUUAUCUCUGGAACCGAUACGUCGUCCAACUAAAGUAUUCCACGGUAUUUUACAUUUUAAGGUGAUUUACGGAUGAUGGUUAAGGGUAAGAGGUUUAAACGCUACACUUCCCGCACCUUUCUAGGUAAGACGACACGCACUAAAAAAGGUACCACCCCAGUGACGAAGAACGGUACACUUCAGUAUCCUUUUGUUUUGUAGCGUUUACUUUUCCAUUUUCCUAUAUAUAUAUAUAUAUUUUAAUUCUGGUUUGGACUAAUAGGUAAAUAAAUAAAUAAAUAAAUAAAUCCUCCUCAGACAGUAGGAUCUUUCAUAUCGGUUCUAACCAGCUUUACUGUUUACUUCUGUCCAGGGACGAUAAGGUACAUCUACAAGAUCAAGGGGGGGGGGGGGGGGGGGGGGGAAGAGUCUGCAUCAUCAGAAAGCAUGCACACAUAUCGACCUCAUCCUAAUCAUCACUGCUUGUUCAAUCUGGUUGUGUCAGGCGGAUCCCGGACAGACGCCAAGACCUCCAAAAGACAGAAAACUCCCAGCAGGGAUUAGAGGAUUAUAACCUAGACAACACUAUCGGGCUGGUGGUAAACAAUCUGUCAAUCUCUCUGUGUGUGUGUGUGUGUGUGUGAGACUUGGGCUUAGGAUUGUCCGAGUCUAUCAAGGGAUUCCGAAGAGCAAAUUUAAACACACAGUAGACGCUUUAACCUCUUUUUCCAGUGUUGUGCAAAACGGUUACCGCAGCUUUAAUGUCGCGUUACCGUUACGUCUAUUUUUCUCGUUCUGCUAAAAUCCAGACGAGAAAGUACCUGAUAAAUUUUUAUUUUUUUUUUUAAAAAACAGGAGCUGAUGCAUCCGAUCAUUUUUAUUUAAAUAAUAAUAAUUUAAAAAAAAAAAAAGAAGAAAGUACAAUAUUUGUUCUUGUGAGAGCUUUUUUUUUUUUUUUUUUAAUUAUUAUUAUUUAAAUAAAAAUGAUUUUUUAAAUAAAUAAAAUUAAAAUAAAAUAAAUUUAAAAAAAUUUAAAAAAAAAAAAAAAAGAAAGAAGUACAAUAUUUGUUCUUGUGAAAGCUUUUUUUUUUUUUUUUUUUUUUUUUUAAAUCAAAUAUCAAUUUCUAUUUUAGUUUUAAUUUUAUCCAUUGACCAAGACAUCACCCUGGGCAUGUUCUCUAAUACCGAGCGGACACUGCGGGAAGGAGUAAAAAGUCACCGGGUCGGCUGAAAAAGUCAGACGUUUCUUUUUAAAUGUUUAAAUGUAGUCGCUGGAAUGACGCGCGGCGUACGGAGAGAGAGAGAGGAAUGAAAAUAAAACGACGUAGCGCUCGUACUGCUCGGGAUCUGUUUCGCUACGUGAGAAAUGAAAUACUCGGGAGCUGUGCUGUCAUGGGAAAAUAAUCAACAGCAGGACGGUGUGAUGUAACCCGAUAAGAACAACACCAGAGGUGUCCAGUAUUUAAAGAAAUAAUACGUCUUAUCGCUCGUAUACGACGACAAUGGGCCGAUUAUUACGUCCGGACACGCGCGACGCGUCGUACUUACGAUCCGUCUACAGUUACGUUUAAUGUUGGAGAAGGUCCGUGAAUCGACUUCAUCGGUGAUGGUGUAACGGCUGUAAGCGGCACGCGUUCUUUCACCAAACUCGUUUAAGCUCGUCAUGUUACCAAGAAACCGCCAAACCCUCCGUCACGUGUUAGGGGAAAAAAAAUCUGUUUAAUCCAGACAUAUUUUGCUUGAUUGGGAAAGAGGUCAGAGUUCAGGGACCUGGUCAGUGAUAAGAGGGAAGCAGCUGACCCGAGAGGUGAGGGGGAGGGGGGAGGGGGGACGACAAAAAAACAGUGCGGGCGUUUCUGCUGAUUUCAGCUGCUUUGUGUCAAAUAAAAUUAGAGCUGUAAGCAGGUGUGUGUGUGUGUGUGUGUGUGUGUGUGUGUGUGUGUGUGUGUGUUGCUACUGUUGCAGAUCUGCUUUUCACUUCUGUCUUGAGAUGAAUUUGUAAAUCUGUCUUGGCUGCUUUCUGCUUGUUAUGCAGUUAUUUCUCUCUCCCUCGUUCUCUCUCUCUCUCGUUCUCUCUCUCUCUCUCGUUCUCUCUCUCUCUCUCGUUCUCUGUCUCUCUGUAUAUCUCUCUCUAUGUCUCUCUCUCUCUCGUUUCUCUCUCUCUAUCGUUCUCUCUCUCUCUCGUUCUGUCUCUCUGUAUAUCUCUCUCUAUGUCUAUCUCUCGUUCUCUGUCUCUCUCUCUCUGUCUCUCUCUCUGUAUAUCUCUCUCUGUCUCUCUCUCUCGUCCUCUCUGUCUCUCUCGGUCUCUCUGUAUAUCUCUCUCGGU